GAUGAACGCUGGCGGCGUGCCUAAUACAUGCAAGUCGAACGAAGAUCUAGCUUGCUAGAUCUUAGUGGCGAACGGGUGAGUAAUACAUAAGUAAUCUGCCCAUAUGACUGGGAUAACUAUUGGAAACGAUAGCUAAUACCGGAUAGGUUGAUCGGGGGCAUCUCUGAUGAAUUAAAGUAGGAUUUCUACACAAAUGGAUGAGUUUAUGGCGCAUUAGUUAGUUGGUGGGGUAACGGCCUACCAAGACGAUGAUGCGUAGCCGACCUGAGAGGGUGACCGGCCACACUGGGACUGAGACACGGCCCAGACUCCUACGGGAGGCAGCAGUAGGGAAUUUUCGGCAAUGGGCGCAAGCCUGACCGAGCAACGCCGCGUGAGUGAUUAAGGCCUUCGGGUUGUAAAGCUCUGUUGUAAGGGAAGAACAUUCAGGAUAGGAAAUGAUCUUGAACUGACGGUACCUUACCAGAAAGCCACGGCUAACUACGUGCCAGCCGCCGCAGUAA
rnacentral:rRNA from 1 species